GGUUUGGAAUGUCCUGAUGCCAACACUUGGUCUGGGAUCAGAAGUUGGACCAGAAGAAUUAUGGCUUGAACAUGGUGUAGACAGCUAGAAGCUCCUGUUGAGGGGAUGGUCUCCUGCUGGUGGAGUCUAUCAUUGAAAGUCACUGGAUCACAAACUCCUGAUAUAAUCCAUGACGUAACCCACUGACGGAUCCAUAACUCCAAGAUAUUGUUAUUUGGAGGACAAUCCAUGGAAAAGUGAAGCCAUUCUCAAAUGAUGUGCAAAGGAGUGUGCCCAGCUGUGGGGGCAAUCGUGUCCAUGAGGCCAUUUGCUCUGAUUGCUUUCACCUGGUGUCUUUGAGGUCUAUCCGUGCUGUUGCAGGCAUAUUUAAGGGACAUUUGGUUGCUUCCACAUGGUAGCUUUGUGAAGAAUGUUGUCAUCAGGGAAGACACAAGGAAGCUGGGCAUGAUGGCCAAGUGUUAGAGGGUUACACUACUGCCUUCUGCUUCUGAUCUGAUUGAGUCACAGCUGAGAUGUGGCACCAGGACUCUUGGCUACACUCAGUUCUCUCAGUUUGACUGAGUACUCUGGGAUCACAGAAGUGACUACAUGAUGCAGCCCAGAGGUCUGAACUCAAAGCUUCUGCCUGCCUACCUUAUCUCACUGCUGGCAAAUGCAUCCCCUCUGCUCCACCCAUCCCUGACAUUGGAACACCGGAGUCCAGGUUCUUUGGACUGAAAACCCACAGCUCUCCAGGAAUCCUCUAAGCCUUCAGCGCCAUGUUGGGACUGUUAAGGCACCCAGCUUCAUGAACAGUGAGGUUAUGGGAUUCUAGCACGCAGUUGGCCAUUGUUGGACUACCCACACAGAAUUGUGUGAGCCAAUCUGAUAAAUUGAUAGAUCCCUCCCC
rnacentral:lncRNA from 1 species